rnacentral:rRNA from 1 species
UACGUAGGGUGCAAGCGUUGUCCGGAAUUAUUGGGCGUAAAGAGCUCGUAGGCGGUUUGUCGCGUCUGCUGUGAAAGACCGGGGCUCAACUCCGGUUCUGCAGUGGGUACGGGCAGACUAGAGUGCAGUAGGGGAGACUGGAAUUCCUGGUGUAGCGGUGGAAUGCGCAGAUAUCAGGAGGAACACCAAUGGCGAAGGCAGAUCUCUGGGCCGUAACUGACGCUGAGGAGCGAAAGCAUGGGGAGCGAACAGG